UACGUAGGGGGCUAGCGUUGUCCGGAUUUAUUGGGCGUAAAGAGCGUGUAGGCGGCCAGGUAGGUCCGUUGUGAAAACUCGAGGCUCAACCUCGAGACGUCGGCGGAAACCCUCUGGCUAGAGUCCGGAAGAGGAGAGUGGAAUUCCUGGUGUAGCGGUGAAAUGCGCAGAUAUCAGGAAGAACACCCGUGGCGAAGGCGGCUCUCUGGGCCGAUACUGACGCUGAGGAGCGAAAGCGUGGGGAGCGAACAGG
rnacentral:rRNA from 1 species